rnacentral:lncRNA from 1 species
AAUAUGGUGAUGAUUUUAUUUUAAAUCUCUAAUUUUUAACUUACUGAAAUCAUGUAUUUAUACCUAAUAUAAAAUAGAUAAAUAGAGAAUGGGGUGGGGAUGAGGAAAUCAUUCCCCACAUGGGAAUUUCUCAUCCCCAUCCCAUUAAAUUUAUUGGGAAAUGGAAGCAAAAAUUUCUAACAGGAGAGAAUUAGGUAGGCCUCCUCACUCCCACCCUACCCCAUUGUCAUUCCUAUUUCCGGGUGGCUAAAAAUUCUUAUUGCAAGUUUAGUUUCGAUAAUAAUUUUAUGAAAAUGACGAGAAAUAUUCGAAUUGGCUGUGUAGUCCAAAAAAUGCAUGUAUUAUUACUCUGUACGUAGUUGGAAUGCCUUUGUAUUUUUAUGGCAUAAAAUUAUUCGAGCCCUACCACUAACUCUUUGCCCAUUUUAAUAAAAUGGUCCCUAAUAUUUGCAUGAAACACGUUGAUGUGGUCCAUGUGGAAUCUAUGAGCUAUUAUUGUUAGCUAGAAAAACUUUGCUUGCUUAUUAUGAAAAAUUAAGAAAAGACUGAGCGCACAUAAAUCCACAAUUAGAAUGGUAUUUACCCUUAAUAAAAUCUUUUAUCAUCAAAAUAACUGUUGAAUCCAAAUCAAUCACCAAGACCAAUUUGGAACCCCCAAGACCCACUCUAUGAAACUUGAUCUUGUUCUGGAAUUAAUCACUCAAGUAAGUUUUGUCAAGAACCAAGAAUACCUACUGAACUUAAUCACACAAUCAAAGAAAAACAGAUCACACACUUUGCACCAGGAUUAUAGUGGUUCGGCCAAUUUCUUGCCUACAUCCACUGUGGAAAACGAAGCAACCCUUUUACUGAUUUCAGAGAACAAGUUACACAUAUGAAGAACGAAUACAACUCAAUAGAAUGCCUUUAGUAACAGAGCCUAAGAUCUUUUAUAGUCCUCUAAGAACCAAGUGAAAGAGCCCCCAGAGGUCAGCUCACGUUUCUGGAUUUCCAGCCAAGAUGAUGAAUCAGCUGUCUCCCGCGUGAUCUAACCGAAUUAACCAAUUCUUGAAUCUGCUAUGGGACACUUGUUAAAAGCUCAUGCAAUCUACUAACUAAAACGCAGAUGUGGUUGCCGUUUGAGUUAGUAAACCAUGUGACGAAUCACGUGCAUUACUAACACAUUCAGCCGACAUAACGUUUAUUCCAUUCAGCUUCUCUGAACUCUAAUGCACGACAAGUCGUUAUGUUUUAUACAAAACAAUUGACAUGUCAUACAAAUCUCCAAGUUCAGAUUUGAGCUUCACAACUCCAACAAUAACUAAUUUUAAAGGUUUAAAUAAAGUGGAUAUUGAUACAAAUUUCGGGAAAUAUAACAGUUUAGGUCACAACUAUCCCGUGUAGGUUAAUAAUAAUGACCUUAGAAGGAUCAAAUUCUAAUGAGUUUCUGAAUUUUAUUAAGUUGACACACAUUACAAAAUUGAAAGUAACUAGUUAUUUUUUAACACGAAAUUCAAAGAAACAAUUGUUUAAUUAU